UACAGAGGGGGCAAGCGUUAUUCGGAAUUAUUGGGCGUAAAGGGCGCGUAGGCGGCCUGGCAAGUGGAAGGUGAAAUCCCUCGGCUUAACCGAGGAACUGCCUCCCAAACUGCUUGGCUUGGGACCAGGAGAGGUGAGUGGAAUUCCCAGUGUAGCGGUGAAAUGCGUAGAUAUUGGGAGGAACACCAGUGGCGAAGGCGGCUCACUGGACUGGUACUGACGCUGAGGCGCGAAAGCGUGGGGAGCAAACGGG
rnacentral:rRNA from 1 species